rnacentral:rRNA from 1 species
GACGAACGCUGGCGGCGUGCCUAAUACAUGCAAGUUGAGCGCUGAAGGUUGGUACUUGUCCCGACUGGAUGAGCAGCGAACGGGUGAGUAACGCGUGGGGAAUCUGCCUUUGAGCGGGGGACAACAUUUGGAAACGAAUGCUAAUACCGCAUAAAAACUUUAAACACAAGUUUUAAGUUUGAAAGAUGCAAUUGCAUCACUCAAAGAUGAUCCCGCGUUGUAUUAGCUAGUUGGUGAGGUAAAGGCUCACCAAGGCGAUGAUACAUAGCCGACCUGAGAGGGUGAUCGGCCACAUUGGGACUGAGACACGGCCCAAACGCCUACGGGAGGCAGCAGUAGGGAAUCUUCGGCAAUGGACGAAAGUCUGACCGAGCAACGCCGCGUGAGUGAAGAAGGUUUUCGGAUCGUAAAACUCUGUUGGUAGAGAAGAACGUUGGUGAGAGUGGAAAGCUCAUCAAGUGACGGUAACUACCCAGAAAGGGACGGCUAACUACGUG